rnacentral:rRNA from 1 species
AGUCGACGCCCCGCAAGGGGAGUGGUAGACGGGUGAGUAACGCGUGGGAAAUAAACUUUCCUGCGGAAUAGCUCCGGGAAACUGGAAUUAAUACCGCAUACGCCCUACGGGGGAAAGAUUUAUCGGGGAAGGAUUGGCCCGCGUUGGAUUAGCUAGUUGGUGGGGUAAAGGCCUACCAAGGCGACGAUCCAUAGCUGGUCUGAGAGGAUGAUCAGCCACAUUGGGACUGAGACACGGCCCAAACUCCUACGGGAGGCAGCAGUGGGGAAUAUUGGACAAUGGGCGCAAGCCUGAUCCAGCCAUGCCGCGUGAGUGAUGAAGGCCUUAGGGUUGUAAAGCUCUUUCACCGGAGAAGAUAAUGACGGUAUCCGGAGAAGAAGCCCCGGCUAACUUCGUGCCAGCAGCCGCGGUAAUACGAAGGGGGCUAGCGUUGUUCGGAAUUACUGGGCGUAAAGCGCACGUAGGCGGAUAUUUAAGUCAGGGGUGAAAUCCCAGAGCUCAACUCUGGAACUGCCUUUGAUACUGGGUAUCUUGAGUAUGGAAGAGGUAAGUGGAAUUCCGAGUGUAGAGGUGAAAUUCGUAGAUAUUCGGAGGAACACCAGUGGCGAAGGCGGCUUACUGGUCCAUUACUGACGCUGAUGUGCGAAAGCGUGGGGAGCAAACAGGAUUAGAUACCCUGGUAGUCCACGCCGUAUACGAUGAAUGUUAUCCGUCGGGCAGUAUACUGUUCGGUGGCGCAGCUAACGCAUUAAACAUUCCGCCUGGGGAGUACUGUCGCAGAUUAAAACUCAAAGGAAUUGACGGGGGCCCGCACAAGCGGUGGAGCAUGUGGUUUAGUCGAAGCAACGCGUCUAACCCUUACCAGCUCAUGACAUCCGGGUAUGGGGCUUUGGCAGACGAUGUCCUUCAGUUAGGCUGGCCCCCACAAAAUGCUGCCGCAUGCUGGACGUCAGCUUGGGUUCGUGUACAUG